rnacentral:rRNA from 1 species
UCGAUGGGCAUACUUAGUACGGCGAGUGAGCGGUAAAAGCUCAAAUUUGAAAUCUGGUACUUUCAGUGCCCGAGUUGUAAUUUGUAGAAUUUGUCUUUGAUUAGGUCCUUGUCUAUGUUCCUUGGAACAGGACGUCAUAGAGGGUGAGAAUCCCGUUUGGCGAGGAUACCUUUUCUCUGUAAGACUUUUUCGAAGAGUCGAGUUGUUUGGGAAUGCAGCUCAAAGUGGGUGGUAAAUUCCAUCUAAAGCUAAAUAUUGGCGAGAGACCGAUAGCGAACAAGUACAGUGAUGGAAAGAUGAAAAGAACUUUGAAAAGAGAGUGAAAAAGUACGUGAAAUUGUUGAAAGGGAAGGGCAUUUGAUCAGACAUGGUGUUUUUUGCAUGCACUCGCCUCUCGUGGGCUUGGGCCUCUCAAAAAUUUCACUGGGCCAACAUCAAUUCUGGCAGCAGGAUAAAUCAUUAAGAAUGUAGCUACUUCGGUAGUGUUAUAGCUUUUUGGAAUACUGUUAGCCGGGAUUGAGGACUGCGCUUCGGCAAGGAUGUUGGCAUAAUGGUUAAAUGCCGCCCGUCUUGAACCACGGACCA